GCUGGGCACAGUGACAUAUGCCUGUAAUCCCAGUGGCCUGGAAGGCUGAGGCAGGAGGAUCACGAGUUCAAAGCCAGCCUCAGCAACUUAGUGAGGCCCUAAGCAAUUCAACGAGAUCCUGUCUCUA
rnacentral:sRNA from 1 species